rnacentral:rRNA from 1 species
UACGAAGGGGGCUAGCGUUGCUCGGAAUCACUGGGCGUAGAGCGCACGUAGGCGGCUUUCUAAGUCAGAGGUGAAAUCCCGGAGCUCAACUCCGGAACUGCCUUUGAUACUGGAAAGCUUGAGUUCGGGAGAGGUGAGUGGAACUGCGAGUGUAGAGGUGAAAUUCGUAGAUAUUCGCAAGAACACCAGUGGCGAAGGCGGCUCACUGGCCCGAUACUGACGCUGAGGUGCGAAGGCGUGGGGAGCGAACGGG